CCUACGGGAGGCUGCAGUGAGGAAUAUUGGUCAAUGGACGAGAGUCUGAACCAGCCAAGUAGCGUGAAGGAUGACUGCCCUAUGGGUUGUAAACUUCUUUUAUAAGGGAAUAAACCGAGCCACGUGUGCCUUUUUGCAUGUACUUUAUGAAUAAGGAUCGGCUAACUCCGUGCCAGCAGCCGCGGUAAUACGGAGGAUCCGAGCGUUAUCCGGAUUUAUUGGGUUUAAAGGGAGCGUAGGUGGAUUGUUAAGUCAGUUGUGAAAGUUUGCGGCUCAACCGUAAAAUUGCAGUUGAGACUGGUAGUCUUGAGUACAGUAGAGGUAGGCGGAAUUCGUGGUGUAGCGGUGAAAUGCUUAGAUAUCACGAAGAACUCCGAUUGCGAAGGCAGCUUACUAAACUGCAACUGACACUGAUGCUCGAAAGUGUGGGUAUCAAACAGGAUUAGAUACCCGUGUAGUC
rnacentral:rRNA from 1 species